ensembl:lncRNA
GGAGAAAAUGUGUUCUUUCAAAAAAAUGGAGUUACACAAGUCGACGAAAAGCAUGAAAACCCUGGACGUGGCGAGUGUCCUGAUGUGUCAACACGUUAAAGCGGACGGUGUACCCCCUAUAUCUUUCCCCCGGACGCACUCACACGGACCCCCAAGGCUGGACUAUAGGAGCUCCUCUCCGGGCAUCGCUCCUGUGCAAGCUGCCGCCCAGACCCAACGUCUGCUGCCUAGCAAAACCAUUUUCACAAGCAUUCGUGUUCUAGAUUAGGUCUUUCUUUCUUUCUUUCUUCUUUCAGCCCUCAAAUGCCUUUUUCCCCCGACCCCCGGCGUAAUGCACAUAUGUGGUUUAAAGCCAGCGAUGUCUAGCGGUCAACAGUCUGCAGUGGAUCGCUGUCUAUUUUUCUUCCGUUGACGAGGAGAACCGGGGGGACGAACGCAGAUGUAAACACAGUGGAGACAAUGGACUGUGGGACGGAGAAGGAAGCAAAGGUGACUGCGAUGUUUUUUUUUCAUCGGUGCGCCAUGAAGUAUAGGAAUAACACGAUUCAACACAAUUGGAGCCUACUUCUUUUUACUUAUUGACAUAAUUUAUGGUUGA